AUACGUAGGUGGCAAGCGUUAUCCGGAUUUAUUGGGCGUAAAGCGCGUCUAGGCGGCUUAGUAAGUCUGAUGUGAAAAUGCGGGGCUCAACCCCGUAUUGCGUUGGAAACUGCUAAACUAGAGUACUGGAGAGGUAGGCGGAACUACAAGUGUAGAGGUGAAAUUCGUAGAUAUUUGUAGGAAUGCCAAUGGGGAAGCCAGCCUACUGGACAGAUACUGACGCUAAAGCGCGAAAGCGUGGGUAGCAAACAGGAUUAGAUACCGUGGUAGUCCACGCCGUAAACGAUGAUUACUAGGUGUUGGGGGUCGAACCUCAGCGCCCAAGCUAACGCGAUAAGUAAUCCGCCUGAGGAGUACGUACGCAAGUAUGAAACUUAAAGGAAUUGACGGGG
rnacentral:rRNA from 1 species